ACCCUUCGAUGUUCUGGGCCGCACGCGCGCUACACUGAUGCGUUCAGCAAGCUCUCUAACCUUCACCGAUAGGUGUGGGUAAUCUUCUGAAAGCGCAUCGUGUUUGGGCUAGAUGAUUGCAAUUAUUCAUCUUCAACGAGGAAUACCUAGUAAACGCAAGUCAUCAACUUGCAUUGAUUACGUCCCUGCCCUUUGUACACACCGCCCGUCGCUCCUACCGAUUGAACGAUCCGGUGAAAUCUCAGGACUGAGAUUGAUUAACGGUUCGCCGUUACCAGUUUCGGGAAUUUGCUUGAACCUUAUCGUUUAGAGGAAGGAGAAGUCGUAACA
rnacentral:rRNA from 1 species